AGGUACUGUUGCCUGGAGAGUUACAGAUGAGAGGACCUUUCAAGAGAGCCUGCACGGAUACCAGCACGCAGUACACAGCACCAACUAUUGUGAUUAUAUUCAGAAAUGAUGAAAGAAACAUCUGAAAAAUAAGCUCAAUAUAUAGGUGAACCAGAGAGAUGAAAGUUCAGGAUGUCUAAACAUCUAAGCACAGGAGUGAUUCCACCCCCUGCAGCACCUGCCAGGAGGCCGGGCCGCCUAGCAGCAGCAUUGCUUCUGACAACAGCACUUACACUGGCAGCACUUCUGCUGACAACAGCCCUUCCCACAGCCACAGCCACAGCCACAGGAGCCGCAGCCACAGGAGCCACAGCCACAGGAGCGGCGGCAGCAACAGACCACGGGGACGCUGCAGCAGCCCCCACAGCAGCCACGGCAGCAGGGGCAGCAGCCAGAGCAGCAGCCAACCCGGUAGCAUCUGCAGGUGGUGCAGCCACCACAGCCGCCACCACAACCACCACAGCCACCACAGCCGCCACAACCGCCACAGCCACAGCCACCACCGCAGCCGCCACAACCACAGCACCCCAUGGUGUCAGUAGAGAGGACUCAGGAGAUGUGAGGAGGGAGACUCAGGAGGUGAGGACGUCUGAUACCCCCUCUGUUGGGGAGCCCUUAAAUACCACCUUUGGCUUGGGCUUGACUCAAGCACAUGACUACUUCCGUUUAUCUGUUUCCCUGGGAGAAUUUUAGUGUCCUUGGUUUACUUCCUUAAGGACUUUUGGCCACAUAAGAUAGCUUACUUUACUUCCAAAUUGCUUUGUUUUAAAGACAUGUUCA